GAAAUGUUAAUUCUUAUGCAGGUGACCAACUUACUGCUAUUGCCUUGCUGUAACUGAGACAACACAUAGCAACGUAUUUUCACAGACUCACUUAAAUCAUCCUCAACACUGUCAAAAUAGGAUACAUCCUAGCCACAGGUGCUAGCCUUCAGUUCGGCCACAACAUCCAGUGAGGACACGAACGCACACACAUUACACACUAACUACCGAGGACAUACAGAUAAGACUCCUACACACAUUGGCAGGGAGAAACAGAAUAGGGAGAGACAACCUUGACUUGCAGAGACAAGCACACACACAUAAUCUCCUCUUAGCUGAACAUUGUGUGACGGGGAAAGGCACGACGAGACUCAGAAGGAUGAUGCACGGCUCAACAGGACCAAUCCAAGAAGACAACACCUCAACUGUGACCAACCAGAACUUCCAGACUCAACCUACUUUCUGUACUGUAUAUAACAUGCUUACACUCUGUUAUCGGGGCUUCUUUCUGAUGGUUCCUUAGGAGCCGAAUGAACGGCCCCGUAUACGCUGUACCAGAUAUCUUUACUCUGAAUAAACUGCCACAUGUUAUACCUUUAUCUCCUCGUCCGAAUCGAUCCUUGACCGACUCGCCUACCUGUGUCUCUCACUUUUAUCAACAGAAUCUUGGUAGCAGAGGAUGGUUUACUAAAGACCCAAAAUCAGGAGAUUGUCGUGAGAGUGCGGAGGCGAAUUGGUGAAAGGACGAUUCAAGGAGGACAGGGGAAGUGAUUCGGGGGAGGACAUCAAUUCUUCUCAACUCGGGAAACUGAUCUCUGGUCGACCACUAAAAAGGUAAGCAAAACCUGUUAAAUCAAACUUUGCAUAUUGUCGUAUAGUUGAAACCAAAUUAAGACCAGUAGUACCGAGUGUGAGUAUGAAUUUUGUGCAAAUUUUAUCAUUAUAAUCAAAUAUGCAGUGAAGUAAACAUAUGUGGUAAAAUAUAAAUUGAGAUGAAAUAGGCUUAAUUUGUGUGGUAGAAUGUAAAUUGAGAUGAAAUAGGCUCAAUUUGUGUGGUAGAAUGUAAAUUGAGAUGAAAUAGGCUCAAUUUGUGUGAUAGAAUGUAAAUUGAGAUGAAAUAGGCUCAAUUUGUGUGAUAGAAUGUAAAUUGAGAUGAAAUAGGCUCAAUUUGUGUGAUAGAAUGUAAAUUGAGAUGAAAUAGGCUCAAUUUGUGUGGUAGAAUGUAAAUUGAGAUGAAAUAGGCUUAAUUUGUGUGGUAGAAUGUAAAUUGAGAUGAAAUAGGCUUAAUUUGUGUUAAAAACACUAUUCAUAUAGUUCGGCUGUGACCGAUGAGGAAUAGGUUUGAUUCGAAAGUGAAUUGAAAUAUGACCGAUAGUUCGUUUGAUACUUGAAUAAGGGGAUUUGCAUACCAUAACUUAGCUCAUGACUGGUUAAAUGCGUUGUAGAGUUGCUACCUUAAUUCUGAGAAGUAUACGAAUGAGGCAUAUGAAUUGUGUGUUAAUUGGUUGACCAACAGACUGGCUGUGACCAGUGAGGUUACUGCUGUACACAGCGUUUCACAAGGUUUUUCAAUUGGGUUACAUGUCUCGAUAAACUCUGGAUAUACGACGGAGAAGCUCUGUGAUAAGACAGAGUACGAGCAAUAGUGUCUCCAAGAAUACAUCACAGUCAUAUGACGGUGACGGGCUAAGUAUAUUCAGAUAGUCUUAAUUUCUUAAAGACACCAUGGCAACUCCGCAACUUCCGAAACUGAAAUUUAAUGACUAUCUAGAUCAACGUAUGCAGGACAGAUCAGGAGGGAAGGAACAGUGGAAACAUAUUAAGAAAGUAUGGGAAGGUUUGAAGUUGAAAUGGACACAGGCAGGUUAUCUAGCAGGGGGGACACCAACCAAGUGUCAGUUGAGUGCUAUGGAAGAAGAGCUGAGGGAGGAAAAAGGUACUUGCUAGUGAUGGUAGAUAGGUUCUCUAGAUGGGUAGAGGCCAUCCCCACAGCGAAGGAAGAUGCGAGAUCUGUCAUUAAGUGGCUUCAGACGGAACUCAUACCCAGGUAUGGAGUUCCGCGGCAAAUCAGAUCCGACAAUGGGUCCCACUUCUCCAAUCAACACCUGAGACAGGUUGAGGAGAGGUUUGGCAUAAUACACAAACUUGGUUCGGUGUAUAAGCCGCAAUCGCAGGAACUUGUGGAACGCUGUAACCAAACUCUGAAAGCUAAGAUAGCUAAAGUUUGUGCAGGAACAAAAUUGACAUGGGUGGAAGCCCUGCCCCUGGCGUUGAUGGCCAUGAGGUCCUCACCAGGAGCAGGGACACAUCUAUCACCCCAUGAGAUAAUGACAGGCCGAGUGAUGCCUGGGCCGCCAAGAGAGGGAGGUCAUAUGCCCCCUCUUGACGUACACCAAAUAAGAAUGUCUGAUUAUGUAAAAAAAUUGACGGAAUUAUCUGCAGCUCUCUCCAAACAGAUACACCGUGCUGCAGAGGGGGAGCUGACUGAUGAACCAGAACGACCAAGGGUAAAAGUUGGUGACUGGGUAAGGAUCAAGAUCCACAAGAGAAAGUGGGCUGAUCCCAGGUGGUCUGGACCGUACGAAGUGAAGGAGGUUACUUCACACUCAGUCCAGGUCAAAGGUAAAUCAGGCGCACCUUGGCACCACCUGACUCAUUGUACACCAGCACCAGCACCUGAUAGAACACUGACUGAAGUCAGAAGCGAUUUGAUCGCAUCUAAUUCGGCUACAAAUUCGGCAGGCCCUGACAACUGAAGAAUGUGGAGGCGACUCCAUUCCUCAGGUGACAGGGAGGGGCACCCGUGGGCUAGACGGAACACAACACCAUGGGGCAGGUUAGGGUGCUCUGCUCCAGUAUUUGUGUUAUUUUUAAUCACCUCAGGGUGCGUGGUGGGAAUCAUGCUUUGGGCUAUAGAACACAUGGUUAGUAAUACUGCUAGAAUAAAUGAUAAGGCCUAUUCCACCACGAACACCACUAAUCCACCUCCCAGCCACGUAGAACACAGCCACAUAAUACACAAGCGGAAUAUUGAGUCUAUAGACCGAAAUUGUACCACCGACUCAGUUAGAAGCACUACUCUAUGCGUUCCGAUUAAUAUUACCACCACCACUGUUACGGUGCCAUGGGGAAUGCUGGAGAGCUCAAGUGCUGGUGACAGGGGCAGGACCUUAUGGCAAACCAAAUACCAUUGGUACAUGACCUUAGGGGGCGUGAGUGAAUGGUCUUGGAAUAAUCUCGUUGCUGAAACAGGUCCGGACUGGUCAAGUUACUCUAAGGGUAAGAGCGUCUUAUUAUGGCGAAGUAGGCUUACGUUAAUUAAACUACAAGUGGGGUUGAGACUGGUCAUUCCACCAGGCCAGGUGGAAAGUUGUCAAUCCUUUGUUUUGGCUCCAUGGAUGGACACUAGGGGAGCCCCAUUGUAUAUUUACUAUUUUAAAUGGCUGUUGAAUAUCUGUUUUGUGCGAGCACCCAUACCCUCUUCUGCCACUAAAAAGGAUGUUUUGCCCUAAACCAGUAUAUAAUGCUUAAAACCAGAAUAUACUCAUGUACCCAUAUGUUAUUCAUAGCCUAAGUUACAAGCACACACACUGCAGCAAUUAUGUAACCCGCACUGCAGAGACCUUGAAGGUUGGAGAGCAGAGAGGAGAAGUUUUAGAAGGGGAGCCAGGACAGGCAAAGAUAACAGUUACUGAAUGGAGACAAAAGGGAGAAUUGGACAUGUGGAAAAUGAAAGGGGAGCUCCUACAUGAUAAUGUCAGAACAGAAGGAUAAUAUACUAAUCUUACCUAAGUCAUUAUUUAGAGUAGGUAAGGUUGUUACCUGGGCAGAGCCAGGUAUCAAAAGGGGGAUGGGUAAAUUGUGGUCUAGGAUAGGAUGGGGCCUAUUGGAUAAGAAACUAAUAAUUUAAAGAAAUGUAGCUAACAAAUGGGCAUAGAAGUUAAAGAUAUAAUCAGAUAAAACAUAUGAGAAAUUGUUUGUUAACCAACCCUGUAUGCCCAGGAUUUUAUGCAUUACAGGUGAACUACAGGUGAAGUCACUCAAUCCAGUCCCAGAGGCUUGUUGGGGGGACCAUACCAAGGACUCCUGGUGACAGCUAGCUGAAAGAGCUACCCAGAUUCAUAUCGCACGGCGGGAGGGUAAGACACAUUGGCACUGUCGAACAAUAAACAGUGUUCGAGAGGAGAACUGGAAUUAACAGAAUUCUGGGGGCCAUCUCUCGAAUGAAGUAACCCUCCCUGUCCUGUCACCCCUGUUUUUGUUCAUAGAAGUGAAGAUGUGUCUGGCUCUUGCUAAGCGAUGUGUUCUCGGGGAGGGUGGGGCUUCAAAUGGAAGCUGUUCGUCUGAGCUAUCGUGGGUGACAUAUUCCUGAUACAGCAAGUCCUACUUGAGUAUGCGGAGAGUGGUAAUUUGACCCAUGGUUUAGACGAUGAGGAUUUUGUUCCAAAAUAAGCAUAAGAUAUCCCUAGAUCUGGGUAGACAGGAAGUUAGAGUAGAGAUUACAUGAUAACCGACUUCGGACAGUUCUAGGAUUGGAGAAGAGGGUAUCCUUAUAGCAUAGGGGAUCCCACCAAGGUGGAUAGGUUUUCCAUGAUAUGGGGAAAACCUGGGAGCACUGUUGAACUCUGUAAAGGUGAUGAAAUCCUACUAACCAUCAAAACUAUUAAGUUCUCUGAUGCAGGCACUUACACCCUCGGACUACAAAGGACGAGGACAGACACGAUGGGUGUGUUUUCUAUUAAGGUGCUGCCAAAACCAGAGGUCCCAGACGAACCAGAGCCAGACACACUCCUCUACCACCCCUGGACCGAACCUGCCACCACUGUGUUAAAAAUACCAUUCAGGUAAUUAAUGUUAGAGACUAUUCAGCUAUUGAUCAGUUAGGCACUGAGACUGGUUUUGAUGGUAGUGACAAUUUGUGGCUGUCCUAUAUGAGGUAUACAGCUAACACCCUGAGAAGAAAGGACUGCAUAAUUUGUAGUCAUGCUAGACCUGUUCUGACUACACACCCAUUUGCUAUAGGAGAAGGAGAGGGGUGGUUGUGUAUUCUGAGAAGUUUUCACCAGGUUCAGCCCAAUUCAACCCUCUGUUCCUCUUUGAGCCUUGUGUUUCCUGCAGUACCUCCUCAUCGGGCCUCUUGGGGUGUUGAGACAUAUGGGGGCAAUUACAGUUGCAUCACGGGUACAGGUAAUGGCAUUGAUUAUGGGAGAUUGCCUGAAGCUGAUUGCAGUAGUAACAUAACCAUUAAUUCCACUUGGCCAGUUACAGGCCUAAACCAAACUAGUGGUCUGGCUGAUGUGUGGUGGAUCUGUGGACCCAAAAGAGUGCUGAGACCCAUUCUUAGAGGAGAAUGGCAAGGUACAUGUGGUCUGACCAGUUUGAUAAUUCCACUGACCAUUGUUGAUGUUACUGCUGAACAGCUGCUGGGUUCUGUAUCCAGGGGACCUGAAAACAUUCCAUCCCAUGGGAGACAUAGACGUAGUGCUCCAUGGACAGAGGAUGUAGUUGACAUACACACUAACCUGUUGGGAGUGCCAGUGGGGGUUCAUCAUGAGUUUCAGGCCUUGGGUAGGAAUGAUGGACCCUGGCACUUACUACCUAUUAUGGGUCCAGCCAUAGUGGAUGCUAGACAGACUGCAUGGAUUAAUUAUAUCUACUAUAAUCAACAGUGUUUUGUGAAUUACUCCCGUGAUGCACUCACUGGUAUGUCUGAACAGCUUGAGGCCACAUCUAGGGUUGCCAGACAGAAUAGACUUGCUUUGGAUAUGCUUCUUGCCAGUCAGGGGGGCGUCUGCAAGAUGUUCGGUGAACAACGUUGCACGUUUAUUCCUAAUAACACCAGUCCUGAUGGUAGUAUAUCUAAGGCCCUUAGUGGGCUUGAUGCACUAUCUGCUGAGAUGAGGACCAUGGCGGGGGUGGAGGAGUCUGGACUGUUCUCUUGGUUGGGAGCCUGGUUUGGUAAGUACACUGGUAUGGUGGUUGCUGGAUUUCUGACCCUAAUUCUUGUAUUUUUGUUUUUGAUGUGCUGUGCUGCUUGCAUCAUACCGUAUUUUAAGAAGUCUGUUACAGAUGUGGUGAAGGCUUCAGGCAUGAUGCCUUUGCUUGAUGCUCCAGUUGGAGAUGCUGAUACUGAAGCAUGCUAUCAGGGGAGGAUGAGACUGACUGAGGAUGACCCAUGUAUGUUUGUUCUCCCUGUUGUGAAGGUUUGGAGUUCCUGGGUGGCAUGGUGCCCACCUGGUGCAGGAUAGGAGUAGCUGGGAGGACCAGAUGGUUUAUAAUAAUGCUUUGCUCUGCUUUACUCUGUUUUCCAGGACCAAAGUUUUAUCCUACAUCUUACAUGUCAAUAAACAAUAAAGUCUUAUCCUGUUUUUGUCAAAAGGGGAAAAAGGGGGAUUGUUGGAUCCUGUAUUUUACAUUAUAGCCAUUACCAUAUAUAUGAUUGAAUAUUAUCUGCUGUUGCCUUGUGUGGAUGUAUGUGUUGUGCAACAUAGCUGACUUGAAACAUUGUUAAAAGUUUCAAGGCCAUGGGCCUUUCUCAUGAUGGAAAAGUAGCAUGAAGACAGGAACUGUUCAAUGAGUUGGGAGGGGGCACAUUCAGAGCGGGGUGUUGCGAGAACAAGCGGUCUUUUGUUAGAUAACAGGAGCCAGGUGCGAGAUAACGGUAUGGAGCAUGAGAGCCUGGAUGUUCUUCACAAGCAAGUUAUCACAUCUCUUUGGAGAUGUGAAGAGAGGGAAUCACAACUUUUUCCUGCUGGAAAAAAGUUUGCUUAUGUGGACAAACAUUUUACUUUUAUUUUUGAGUUGUUGUUCUCCGCUCUGUUAAAUGAGGGUUUUGAGUUCCUAGGUGGCUGGUAGCCAACUUAGUACAUAGUGGGAUUGAAUGGAGGACAUGUAGGUAUUUUAAACCUUGUGACUAUUAUAUGAUUCAUUGCUGGUUUUGUAUUCACACCCUUGGGGUUAUUUUACAUUGUAGCCAUACCAUAUAUAUGAUUAACACAAACUUUUCCUUCUGGGAAAAGUUUUCUUUUUGUGUCUGGAUCCAGUUUAGGUUGUGUCACGUCUCUGGGGAGACGUGAAGAGAGGGAUUUGUAAAGAAAUGUUAAUUCUUAUGCAGGUGACCAACUUACUGCUAUUGCCUUGCUGUAACUGAGACAACACAUAGCAACGUAUUUUCACAGACUCACUUAAAUCAUCCUCAACACUGUCAAAAUAGGAUACAUCCUAGCCACAGGUGCUAGCCUUCAGUUCGGCCACAACAUCCAGUGAGGACACGAACGCACACACAUUACACACUAACUACCGAGGACAUACAGAUAAGACUCCUACACACAUUGGCAGGGAGAAACAGAAUAGGGAGAGACAACCUUGACUUGCAGAGACAAGCACACACACAUAAUCUCCCUCUUAGCUGAACAUUGUGUGACGGGGAAAGGCACGACGAGACUCAGAAGGAUGAUGCACGGCUCAACAGGACCAAUCCAAGAAGACAACACCUCAACUGUGACCAACCAGAACUUCCAGACUCAACCUACUUUCUGUACUGUAUAUAACAUGCUUACACUCUGUUAUCGGGGCUUCUUUCUGAUGGUUCCUUAGGAGCCGAAUGAACGGCCCCGUAUACGCUGUACCAGAUAUCUUUACUCUGAAUAAACUGCCACAUGUUAUACCUUUA